rnacentral:tRNA from 3 species
GGGCGGUUAGCUCAGUUGGUUUAGAGCGCCUGCCUUACAAGCAGGAGGCCGGGGGUUCAAAUCCCUCACCGCCCA